UCCCAGGGAUUUUGUCAGGAUCUUUCCCGCAUUCAUUUGCGCCCAUUGGGAUCAUUGGGAUUGGUCUGUUACAUCGCUGGGAGAUUGAUAUCCACCUCCCAACUUCCUUGGUCCCGUCUUGGGAUCGGGGAUUUGAAGGACUCCGUCUUGGAGGACUUCACGGGAUACCGGACGUGUUUCGUUUGAGUUGAAUUCCACCCUGCCUUGAGCAGACCCUACCGUGGUGGUCUUCUUAGUUAUGAUUCACACAUUU
rnacentral:snoRNA from 1 species